UGGGGAAUUUUGGACAAUGGGGGAAACCCUGAUCCAGCAUCCCGCGUGUGCGAUGAAGGCCUUCGGGUUGUAAAGCACUUUUGGCAGGAAAGAAACGUCAUGGGUUAAUACCCCGUGAAACUGACGGUACCUGCAGAAUAAGCACCGGCUAACUACGUGCCAGCAGCCGCGGUAAUACGUAGGGUGCAAGCGUUAAUCGGAAUUACUGGGCGUAAAGCGUGCGCAGGCGGUUCGGAAAGAAAGAUGUGAAAUCCCAGAGCUCAACUUUGGAACUGCAUUUUUAACUACCGGGCUAGAGUGUGUCAGAGGGAGGUGGAAUUCCGCGUGUAGCAGUGAAAUGCGUAGAUAUGCGGAGGAACACCGAUGGCGAAGGCAGCCUCCUGGGAUAACACUGACGCUCAUGCACGAAAGCGUGGGGAGCAAACAGG
rnacentral:rRNA from 1 species